CAGAACGCAAACAUACAGGGCCUCACAGUUGGACCGACACAACACAAAACGCUAGCAUAUGCGGACGACCUGCUGUUUGUGGUCACACAUCCGGAGACCACCUUACCGGCGAUACAGGCAGAAUUUGAAGAAUAUGGGCUGAUCUCCAACCUUCAAAUAAACUACACUAAGUCGGAGAUCCUCAACCUCACCAUUGAGCACGCCCACAAACGGACACUUCAAAG